rnacentral:rRNA from 1 species
GAUUUUCGCAAUGCCCGAAAGGGUCUGACCUAUCCCUGGAGGAAGCACGGGCUAAGUUCGUGCCAGCAGCCGCGGUAAGACGAACCGUGCGAACGUUGUUCGGAAUCACUGGGCUUAAAGGGCGCGUAGGCGGGCCGCAAAGUCAGGGGUGAAAUCCUCCAGCUCAACUGGAGAACUGCCUUUGAUACUGGCGGCCUGGAGUAAGGUAGGGGCAUGCGGAACUGAUGGUGGAGCGGUGAAAUGUGUUGAUAUCAUCAGGAACUCCGGUGGCGAAAGCGGCGUGCUGGACCUUUACUGACGCUGAGGCGCGAAAGCCAGGGGAGCAAACGGGAUUAGAUACCCCGGUAGUCCUAGCCGUAAACGAUGGGCACUAAGUAGAGGGGUUUU